GAGGUAGUGACAAGAAAUAACAAUACGGGGCUUAACGUCUUGUAAUUGGAAUGAUGGGAAUCUAAACCUCUUCCAGAGUAUCAAUUGGAGGGCAAGUCUGGUGCCAGCAGCCGCGGUAAUUCCAGCUCCAAUAGCGUAUAUUAAAAUUGUUGCAGUUAAAAAGCUCGUAGUUGAAUUUCUGCCGCCCCGCCUCUGCCCCUCGACGGGCGUUUGCGCCGCGGCUUUUUCGGAUUAUGCUUGCAUUUUCCGAGUGUUACUUUGAGAAAAUUAGAGUGCUCAAAGCAGGCUUUUGCCUUGAAUAGUUUAGCAUGGAAUAAUAGAGUAGGACUUUGGUUCUAUUUUGUUGGUUUUAGGUCCCAAAGUAAUGGUUAAUAGGAACAGUUGGGGGCAUUCGUAUUUAACUGUCAGAGGUGAAAUUCUUAGAUUUGUUAAAGACGAACUACUGCGAAAGCAUUUGCCAAGGAUGUUUUCAUUAAUCAAGAACGAAAGUUAGGGGAUCGAAGA
rnacentral:rRNA from 1 species